rnacentral:rRNA from 1 species
UACAGAGGCCUCGAGCGUUAGGCGGAAUCGCUGGGCUUAAAGCGUGUGUAGGCGGACUUCUAAGUGCCUUGUGAAAUCCCACGGCUCACCCGUGGAACGGCUGGGCAUACUGGGAGUCUUGAGCCAACUAGGGGCGAGCGGAACAGACGGUGGAGCGGUGAAAUGCGUAGAUAUCGUCUGGAACGCCGAAGGUGAAAACAGCUCGCUGGGGUUGUGCUGACGCUGAGACACGAAAGCCAGGGGAGCGAACGGG